CCUACGGGUGGCAGCAGUGAGGAAUAUUGGCCAAUGGGCGCAAGCCUGAACCAGCCAUCCCGCGUGCAGGAAGACGGCGCUAUGCGUUGUAAACUGCUUUUCCAGGGGAAGAAAACCUGAUACGUGUAUCGGCUUGCCGGUACCCUGGGAAUAAGCAUCGGCUAACUCCGUGCCAGCAGCCGCGGUAAUACGGAGGAUGCGAGCGUUAUCCGGAUUUAUUGGGUUUUAGGGGUGCGUAGACGGCUUAGUUGAAAACCUGCAGCUGAACUGUAGAAUUGCCAUUGAUACUGGUAGUCUUGAGUACGGUCAAGGUAGGCGGAAUGUGUAAUGUAGCGGUGAAAUGCUUAGAUAUUACACAGAACACCGAUUGCGAAGGCAGCUUACUGGGCCAUUACUGACGCUGAUGCACGAAAGCGUGGGGAGCGAACAGGAUUAGAUACCCCGGUAGUC
rnacentral:rRNA from 1 species